AUUGAACGCUGGCGGCAUGCCUUACACAUGCAAGUCGAACGGCAGCAUGAUCUAGCUUGCUAGAUUGAUGGCGAGUGGCGAACGGGUGAGUAAUACAUCGGAACGUGCCCUGUAGUGGGGGAUAACUAGUCGAAAGAUUAGUUAAUACCGCAUACGACCUGAGGGUGAAAGUGGGGGACCGCAAGGCCUCAUGCUAUAGGAGCGGCCGAUGUCUGAUUAGCUAGUUGGUGAGGUAAAGGCUCACCAAGGCGACGAUCAGUAGCUGGUCUGAGAGGACGAUCAGCCACACUGGGACUGAGACACGGCCCAGACUCCUACGGGAGGCAGCAGUGGGGAAUUUUGGACAAUGGGCGAAAGCCUGAUCCAGCAAUGCCGCGUGUGUGAAGAAGGCCUUCGGGUUGUAAAGCACUUUUGUCCGGAAAGAAAUGGCUCUGGUUAAUACCUGGGGUCGAUGACGGUACCGGAAGAAUAAGGACCGGCUAACUACGUG
rnacentral:rRNA from 1 species